rnacentral:rRNA from 1 species
AACGAACGCUGGCGGCAGGCUUUACACAUGCAAGUCGAACGGGUAGCAAUACCAGUGGCAGACGGGUGAGUAACGCGUGGGAACGUACCUUUUACUUUGGGUUAGCUCAGGGAAACUUGGGAUAAUCCCAAAUACGCUCGAGAGAGGAAAGAUUUAUCGGUGGAAGAACGGCCCGCGUUCGGUUAGGUAGUUGGUGAGGUAAUGGCUCACCAAGCCGACGAUCUAUAGCUGGUCUGAGAGGAUGAUCAGCCACUUUGGGACUGAGACACGGCCCAAACUACUACGGGAGGCAGCAGUGGGGAAAAGUGGACUAUGGGGGAAACCCUGAUCCAGCCAUGCCGCGUGAGUGAUGACGGCCUUAGGGUUGUAAAGCUCUUUUACAUGGGAAGAUAAUAACUGUACCAGGAGAAUAAGACCCGGCAAACUUCGUGCCAGCAGCCGCGGUAACAC